rnacentral:ncRNA from 1 species
UACCUUUCACAAUGUAGGGAAACAAACAUUGUUUCAGUUACAAAAAUGCUUCGCAAUGUGCAGCACAGGAACAUUGCCAGAGACAAAUACCUUUCACAAUGUAGGGAAACAAACAUUG